rnacentral:ncRNA from 1 species
AGUUUUAUUCUUGCUUAAAGAUUUAUUAAAAUAAUAUUUUACAUGUAAAUUUUUGUGUUGAAAUUGAUACUAUCUAAAUGGUAUAUUAAUUUUAUUAUGCAGUAUUUAGUAUUAAAUAUUAAGUAAAUUUAGAUUUAGUAAUUAUUGUUUAUAUUGGCUAAAGUCGUGCCAGCAGUCGCGGUUAUACGUGAAAUAUAAAUAAAUUAUAUUAGUUUAAAGUUAAUUGGAAUAUUUAGAAUUUAUUUUUUUAUUAAUUAGGUGAAAUUUUUAUUUAAAUUUAAUUUCUAUAAUUAUUUAUGAAGCUUUGAAAUUUCUUUAUUAAACUAGGAUUAGAUACCCUAUUAUUGGAAAUGUAAAAUUUUUACUUGAGUAGUAAAAGUUAUGAUCUUGAAACUCAAAGAAUUUGGCGGUGUUUUAGUCUUUUCAGAGGAAUCUGUCCCGUUAAUGAUAAUACACGAUUAACUUUACCAUAUUUUGUAUUUUCAGUAUGUAUACCGCCGUCAUCAGUUUAUCUUAGGAGAGUUAGGAAUUUUCUUGAAUUUUAAUUAGAAUUUAUGUCAGGUCAAGGUGCAGCUUAUAUUAUGGUGGAGAUGGAUUACAAUAAAGUUUAUUUAAAUGGAUUAUUAAAUGAAAAAUUAAUAUGAAGGUGGAUUUGGAAGUAAUUUUAUUCAAGUUUGUUGAUUUGAUUUUGGCUCUAAAAUAUGUACAUAUCGCCCGUCGCUCUCAUUUUUAAAUUGAGAUAAGUCGUAACAGAGUAGAUUUACUGGAAAGUGAAUCUAGAAAGAAUUAUA